rnacentral:rRNA from 1 species
UACGUAGGGGGCAAGCGUUGUCCGGAUUCAUUGGGCGUAAAGAGCGUGUAGGCGGCCAGGUAGGUCGGUUGUGAAAACUGGAGGCUCAACCUUCAGAGGUCGACCGAAACCAUCUGGCUAGAGUCCGGGAGAGGAGAGUGGAAUUCCCGGUGUAGUGGUGAAAUGCGUAGAUAUCGGGAGGAACACCAGUGACGAAGGCGACUUCUUGGCCUGUUCUUGACGCUGAGGCGCGAAAGCUGGGGGAGCAAACGGG